rnacentral:rRNA from 1 species
UACGUAGGGUGCAAGCGUUGUCCGGAAUUACUGGGCGUAAAGCGCACGUAGGCGGAUACUUAAGUCAGGGGUGAAAUCCCGGGGCUCAACCCCGGAACUGCCUUUGAUACUGGGUAUCUCGAGUCCGGAAGAGGUGAGUGGAAUUCCGAGUGUAGAGGUGAAAUUCGUAGAUAUUCGGAGGAACACCAGUGGCGAAGGCGGCUCACUGGUCCGGUACUGACGCUGAGGUGCGAAAGCGUGGGGAGCAAACAGG